UGUAAGUAUACCAAUCAGCACUCUGUGUCUAGGUCAGGGAUUGUAAAUGCACCAAUCAGGACCCUGUCAAAACGGACCAAUCAGCUCUCUGUAAAAUGGACGAAUCAUCAGGAUGUGGGUGGGGCCAGAUAAGGGAAUAAAAGCAGGCUGCCCGAGCUAGCAGCAGCAACCCGGUCAGGUCCCCUUUUGUGCUGUGGAAGCUUUGUUCUUUCUCUGUUUGCAAUAAAUCUUACUGCUGCUCACUCUUUGGGUCUACGCCGCCUUUAUGAGCUAUAACACUCACCGUGAAGGUCUGCAUCUUCACUCCUGAAGCCAGUGAGACUACGAACAAACGCAUUGGGAGGGACGAACAAACGCAUUGGGAGGGACCAACAACUCCGGACAUGAGGAACAAACAACUCCAGAUGCGCUGUCUUUAAGAGCUGUAACACUCACAGCAAAGGUCUGCGCCUCACUUCUUAAGUCAGUGAGACCACAAACCCACCAGAAGGAAGAAACUCCGGACGCAUCUGAACAUCUGAAAGCACAAACUCUGGACACACCAUCUUUAAGAACUGUAACACUCACCGCGAGGGUCCGCAGCUUCAUUCUGGAAGUCAGCAAGACCAAGAACCCAUUAUUCCGGACACAAAGGGGCAGCUGCUGUAGCUGUGUCACCUGACAAGCAACCAGCGCCCCCGCUGCACAAAGCAGCAGCAGCAGCAGUUUCAGCACAGCCCAGAAACGAGUGUGCUUCCGGGGGAGUGGCUUGCAGGGGCAGGAUUCGGACUUAGAUUUGGGGGCCUAAUUUGUUUCCUUGCCACUUCAGGUUCUUCAGCUGAGCAAAGCUGACGACAAGGUGACCAGCCUGUUGUUGAGGAGAGCCAGGUGCUGGAGGUUGACCAAACGGCCCAAGUCUGCUGUUCCAGGGAGAAGAUGUCCAUCUAUAAGAAAGUGGUCCCUCAGCAGACACUGAAUCUGCUGGUGUCCUGAUCUUGAAUAUACCAGCCUCCAGAACUGUGCAAGUCAUCCCUGAGGAAGUAGUGACCAGCUGUGGAUGCUACGCUGAGGCCCUUCUUUAAGAGUGAUCUGAUGGCACUGGAUGUCUGCUGAGGCUUGUGUCUAGAAGGAAUGAAAGGAUGUGCCAACAACAGCAGUUGUCUCCUCGUUUUCAAAGCUCAGGCCUCAUGGUAUCCCCUUCUCUUGGUUCUGUUUACUAAAACAUAUCAGUGCCUGACUAUGCCUGAAUGAUCCAUCUUCCUUAAGGCUGCUACACCAUAACUAGGAGCUUUAAAAAAAAGGGGGGGGCAUUUACUCUCUGAGGCACUCAAAAAAGCACAUGCUUUUAAUUGAGGGAUGGGGGUGACAAUGGAUCAUUCUGUUGAUUUUAACUAUCUCAUAUUUGUUAACAGCAUCAUUUCCAUGGAUAGCUUUCUGAAAGACUGCCUAUCCACUUAGAGGUGAGGAGAAGUAAUAGGGGAGGAAACCCUGCCGAGCUGCAAAAAGUUCUAAAUCCAGUCCUUUAAUUAUCUUGCUUAAAAUUCUUUAUUGGCUCUUUGAUACCCUCAGAAUAAAGCAAACUGCUUAAACAUGACUUACAAAGUAAUUGCUAUAGUUUGAAUAUUGUCCCCCAAAUCACAUGUUGAAAUUGAUUCCUAGUGUCAGAGGCGGGGACUGUGAGAGGUGUUGGGGUCAUGGGGCAUAUCUCUCAUGAAUAGAUUAAUGCUCUGUCAGCAUGGGGUGGGGUUGUGUGAGUUCUCACUCUUAUUAGUUCCCAAAGAGUUGGUUAUUCAAAAAGAGCCUGGCAUCUCCCUCCUUUUUGUCUCUUGCCUCCUCUCUCACGUGUGAUCUCUGUGCAUGUGCCUUUCCGUUGCCUUCCCCAUGAGUGGAAGUGGCCUGAAGCCAAUGCUGGUGCCAUGCUUCCUGUACAGUCUGCAGAACUAUGAGCCAAAUAAACCUAUUUUCUUUAUAAA
rnacentral:lncRNA from 10 species